GGGCUCGCAGGCGGUUUCUUAAGUCUGAAUGUGAAAGCCCCCGGCUCAACCGGGGAGGGUCAUUGGAAACUGGGAAACUUGAGUGCAGAAGAGGAGAGUGGAAUUCCACGUGUAGCGGUGAAAUGCGUAGAGAUGUGGAGGAACACCAGUGGCGAAGGCGACUCUCUGGUCUGUAACUGACGCUGAGGAGCGAAAGCGUGGGGAGCGAACAGGAUUAGAUACCCUGGUAGUCCACGCCGUAAACGAUGAGUGCUAAGUGUUAGGGGGUUUCCGCCCCUUAGUGCUGCAGCUAACGCAUUAAGCACUCCGCCUGGGGAGUACGGUCGCAAGACUGAAACUCAAAGGAAUUGACGGGGGCCCGCACAAGCGGUGGAGCAUGUGGUUUAAUUCGAAGCAACGCGAAGAACCUUACCAGGUCUUGACAUCCUCUGACAGCCCUAGAGAUAGGGCUUUCCCUUCGGGGACAGAGUGACAGGUGGUGCAUGGUUGUCGUCAGCUCGUGUCGUGAGAUGUUGGGUUAAGUCCCGCAACGAGCGCAACCCUUGAUCUUAGUUGCCAGCAUUUAGUUGGGCACUCUAAGGUGACUGCCGGUGACAAACCGGAGGAAGGUGGGGAUGACGUCAAAUCAUCAUGCCCCUUAUGACCUGGGCUACACACGUGCUACAAUGGACAGAACAAAGGGCUG
rnacentral:rRNA from 1 species